AUGAGGGCUCCUGUACAGCUCCUCAGCUUCCUGCUGCUCUGGCUCCCAGGAUCCAGGUGUGAUAUCCAGAUGAGCCAGCCUCCAUCCAUGUCUGCAUCUCUGGGAGAGAAAGUCACCAUCACCUGCAAGGCCAGUCAGAGCAUUACCAAUGAUUUAGCCUGGUAUCAGAAGAAACCAGGGAAAGCUCCCAGGCUCCUCAUCUAUGAGGCAAACAGUUUAGGACAAGAUGUCCCUUCAAGCUUCAGUGGCAGUGGAUAUGGGACAGAUUUCACUCUCACUAUCAACAGCCUGAAGUCUGAUGAUGCUGCCACUUAUUACUGUCAGCAGUAUAAUAAUUACCCUCCCACAGUGAUACACGCCAGAACAUAA